rnacentral:rRNA from 1 species
AUGGGGAGGUUCGGUCCUGUUGAGAACGUGCUCCGUGCUACUAUAAACCUCGGUGCCCAAGUCAAGACAGGAAACAGUACUAUGGAACCAACGAAAACGCCAAGCUUGUGGACAAAGAUAUGGAAUGAGCGGGACGUUCAGAUAAUGGUACUCAUCAGCAUCUUGCUGCAACUCUUCUUGCUAUCGGCCGGUUUCUUCCGACGGCACUGCAGAGUCAGCUGCCUGAAGUUCUUGUUGGUGUGGUUGGUUUAUUUGGCGUCAUACGCUGUUGCCGUCUCUGCUAUUGGCCUGUUCUCCCAGUACGAGGACAAGUACAAACUAAGAAACCUCGAGUCAGUUGAGCAUCUUCACGCCCUGACGUUGCCCUUCCUCUGGCCACCUUUUCUCCUUCUUCACCUCGGAGGCCCAGACAAUAUCACCGCGUUAUCCAUCGAGGACAACAAUUUAUGGACCAGGCAGUUCAUCAACCUCACAUUCCAACUCGGUCUAGCUCUGUACGUGUUUUGGAAAUCAUUCGACUUGCUUGACUCGCAGUUGCUAGAAGUAGCCGUACCCCUGUUUGUUGCUGGGAUAAUCAAGUACUGGGAGAGGAUAUGGGCGCUCAAGAGAGGAAGCCGGGACAGCCUCGAUUGCCGCAUGAAGAAUGAAGAUCCAAAUUCCCCAGCACCAGCUCAAGCUCAAUCUGGUGAUGUCGUGGCAUCUUGUGCUCUUAACUUGGGGCUUAGCGGCAGAGGACUGCUUGUUGGACGGACACUGUUACAGCUGGGAAGUAGGGCUGAGAUUGAGGUGCUGAGUAUUUUUCCAGCCACCGAGUCAACAAAAAGGAAGCUCAAGAUCAUACUGACGGAGCUCGGCAUGAUAUACGAUAUGCUAUACACCAAAACCAUGGUACUGCAUAGCCGCACCGGCAUCAUGCUCCGGUGCAUUGCCCUGGUAGCCAUAGUGGUGGCGUAUGUGCUAUUAGUGGGAAAUCAACAUAUGAAUGACCAAAAAGGAAGAAAUCUUGCCCUCACCUAUCAGUUGUUCUUAGUGUCCAUCUAUAUGGAAGUUCUUUCUAUCUUGAUGGUGAUAGCAUCUCCCUGGACAAGGGCACGCUUCAACCUGGGAACAUUUUUCAGUUGGCUGUCCCACAUAUUAUGUUGUCAUACUCAACUCAUAUUAUGGUGUCUUACUCAAUCAAUGUCAAAUACGUACAUGGGUCAAUUCAACCUUGCAGACUAUUCCAUGUCCAAGAAAUCCAUGUCAAAGUUCAUCUCCGAGGUCUACGAAGCAUUGGGUUUGGAGAAGCACUGGAGAAACUUUUGGCAUAUCAAGCACGUGGAGGACAUGUCGAUCAUCAUCUAUACCUUGGGAUUGCUCGGCACUGACCCAAAUCAUUCUGAGGGGAGAUCCCGGCAGUUAAAUCUUGGCCUGGAGCUGAAAGAUUUGCUAAAUCUACCCUUUGAGCAUACUAUUUUCCGUCUACAUAUAUGGACAGAGUUGCAUUUAAGCACAUACUCAUUGGGAGGGGAUGGCGUUGUUGGCGAGAUGUCAUUACUUGUGGCAGAAUGCAGGAAGCUAUCAAAUUACCUCAUGUACCUUAUGUCAGUUUGCCCUUCAAUGUUGCCGGUAAGCAGUGUUGCUCGAGAUUUUGAGCCCCUCUUCUCGGAAUGGGUCAGAGACAAUCAUAACAACUUGACAAAGGCAGAAGUGUUAGACAAAUAUGCAAAUACUGUACUGGUAGGCAGCUCUCCCUUCAGAGACACACCUGCUUCCGUGGAAACCCUCAAGGAUUUGAAGGAGGUGUGGGCGAGGCUGCUCAUCUAUGCAGCCGGUAAGUGCCCCUUUGAGGAGCAUGCGCGGCAACUCGGCAACGGAGGAGUGGAGCUUCUCACCGUGAUUGGGUACCUCAUGAUGCACCAGCAGCUUGGCGAUGUGGGAGAGAAGGUCGAGCUCUCACCGUCCGGUUUUCUUCCUGUACCACCACAACCAGCGUCCUUAACAGGUCAUAUGAGAGUCAGGCCGAGCGUCCACUUGCCAGUGCCAGCAUCACUCCAGCUCCAGCCGCUCUACGCCUUUGAAUUCGUCUACGAUGAUCACCGGUUGCCGACGUCCGUCAAGCCCCUCUCGUUGUCAUUAGUUGGGCCGGGGGAGCCUGACAACCCUGAACCAAGUGCGGCAACCCAAGUUACCCCGGACCAGAGUACAUCGCAACCGAGUACCUCUGGUGGAACAAAUGUGGCACUGGAGAUAGAGGAAUUAGCUGGUGGGCACCAAUAG